rnacentral:tRNA from 1 species
AGCCUCGUGGUAGAGAAUACAUUAGAUUGCAAAUCUAAAGACGCAGAUUAAUAUCUGCCGGGGCUU